rnacentral:rRNA from 1 species
GAUGAACGCUGGCGGCGUGCCUAAUACAUGCAAGUCGAGCGAACAGACGAGGAGCUUGCUCCUCUGACGUUAGCGGCGGACGGGUGAGUAACACGUGGAUAACCUACCUAUAAGACUGGGAUAACUUCGGGAAACCGGAGCUAAUACCGGAUAAUAUAUUGAACCGCAUGGUUCAAUAGUGAAAGACGGUUUUGCUGUCACUUAUAGAUGGAUCCGCGCCGCAUUAGCUAGUUGGUAAGGUAACGGCUUACCAAGGCAACAAUGCGUAGCCGACCUGAGAGGGUGACCGGCCACACUGGAACUGAGACGCGGUCCAGACUCCGACGGGAGGCAGCAGUAGGGAAUCUUCCGCAAUGGGCGAAAGCCUGACGGAGCAACGCCGCGUGAGUGAUGAAGGUCUUCGGAUCGUAAAACUCUGUUAUUAGGGAAGAACAAAUGUGUAAGUAACUAUGCACGUCUUGACGGUACCUAAUCAGAAAGCCACGGCUAACUACGUG